GGGUGACGAGUGGCGGACGGGUGAGUAAUGUCUGGGGAUCUGCCUGACAGAGGGGGAUAACUACUGGAAACGGUAGCUAAUACCGCAUAACCUCGCAAGAGCAAAGAGGGGGACCUUCGGGCCUCUCGCUGUCAGAUGAACCCAGAUGGGAUUAGCUAGUAGGUGGGGUAAUGGCUCACCUAGGCGACGAUCCCUAGCUGGUCUGAGAGGAUGACCAGCCACACUGGAACUGAGACACGGUCCAGACUCC
rnacentral:rRNA from 1 species